UACGAAGGGGGCUAGCGUUGUUCGGAAUCACUGGGCGUAAAGGGCGCGUAGGCGGCCGAUCAAGUCGGGGGUGAAAGCCUGUGGCUCAACCACAGAAUUGCCUUCGAUACUGUUUGGCUUGAGACCGGAAGAGGUAAGUGGAACUGCGAGUGUAGAGGUGAAAUUCGUAGAUAUUCGCAAGAACACCAGUGGCGAAGGCGGCUUACUGGUCCGGUUCUGACGCUGAGGCGCGAAAAGCGUGGGGGAGCAAA
rnacentral:rRNA from 1 species